rnacentral:rRNA from 1 species
GCAAGUCGAGCGGACCGACGGGAGCUUGCUCCCUUAGGUCAGCGGCGGACGGGUGAGUAACACGUGGGUAACCUGCCUGUAAGACUGGGAUAUCAUCAGGAAACCGGGGCUAAUACCGGAUGCUUGAUUGAACCGCAUGGUUCAAUCAUAAAAGGCGGCUUCGGCUGCCGUUUACCCAUGGACCCGCGGCGCAUUAGCUAGUUGGUGAGGUAACGGCUCACCAAGGCGACGAUGCGUAGCCGACCUGAGAGGGUGAUCGGCCACACUGGGACUGAGACACGGCCCAGACUCCUACGGGAGGCAGCAGUAGGGAAUCUUCCGCAAUGGACGAAAGUCUGACGGAGCAACGCCGCGUGAGUGAUGAAGGUUUUCGGAUCGUAAAGCUCUGUUGUUAGGGAAGAACAAGUACCGUUCGAAUAGGGCGGUACCUUGACGGUACCUAACCAGAAAGCCACGGCUAACUACGUGCCAGCAGCCGCGGUAAUACGUAGGUGGCAAGCGUUGUCCGGAAUUAUUGUGCGUAAAGCGCGCGCAGGCGGUUUCUUAAGUCUGAUGUGAAAGCCCCCGGCUCAACCGGGGAGGGUCAUUGGAAACUGGGGAACUU